AUUGUGAAAUGCUUUUAUGAAAUUUUGUCCAAUAAUAGUAUGCUAUCAUUCUUCCAAAUGAAACGGGUCAAGUCAUCCUGUGUGAUUUUACUCUCUUGUUGGCGAUGUUAAGGGCCUGGCUAGCUCUUCAGUAGGCCUUUCUACCAGGGCCAUAUGUAUUUCAAUCUCUUAAUCCACAUGAUAAGGAGAAAUUUCAUCCUACCCUGUGAUAAGAUAUGAUUCAUCGUGACAUGUUUUUUUGAAAUUAAUUAAUGUUUAUCGAAAGUUUGCA
rnacentral:misc_RNA from 1 species